rnacentral:misc_RNA from 1 species
AAAUUGAUACCAAACAGGCCCUAAGGAAUUUAAUAAAUCAGCCAUUUGCAUUUCCAAUAGGUGACAUUUUGCAUGCAGGGGCCACACACUUACUUCGUGAAUACCUGUGAACACAAUAACAGACAGAAAACAAAACUUAAUUUUGGUAAAGAUAUGCUCAUCAAAUACAUACAAUUAAAAUAAAACCCAAAAUACAUUUUCAGAUCCAAUUUACCACACAUUCCAAAUGCCACACAGAGCCAUUUGAAGAAGAACAAAGUUAUUGAGUACAACUUGAAAUUUCAUUUAAAACCUUAUGUAUCAAGAGACACUUCAUAAGCUAACAAGUGUAAAGCUUGAAACUUUCAAUCAAUCUGAACCUAGUGUAAAUAUCUAUUUUCGAACAAAGCUCUAAAUUUUAAGCAAAACCAAGUCCACUUUGUGUUUUAGUAAGAGCUUGUCUGGUUCAAUUUCAAAACACAAAAUUUUAUGAAAUUCAAUUGAAUUCAUUGUUUGGUGUGUUUGGUUUGAAAAAAAAAAAAAUAGAAUUCAAUUCUAGAAUUUGGUUAUAACUAAAACCAAUAAUUUCAAAAAAUUUAUCAUAUUCCUUACUUAUUAUCAGACAACCACUUAUUCACAAAGUGAAUAGUUUUUAUUUCCCAUCUCAUGAAAAACACUUUUCGCUCCACUUAGCUCUAUCCCCCUCUUAGGGUAUUUUAGUGAUAGGUUCUAU